UACGGGGGGGGCAAGCGUUGUUCGGAAUUACUGGGCGUAAAGGGCUCGUAGGCGGCCAACUAAGUCAGACGUGAAAUCCCUCGGCUUAACCGGGGAACUGCGUCUGAUACUGGAUGGCUUGAGUUUGGGAGAGGGAUGCGGAACUCCAGGUGUAGCGGUGAAAUGCGUAGAUAUCUGGAGGAACACCGGUGGCGAAGGCGGCAUCCUGGACCAACACUGACGCUGAGGAGCGAAAGCCAGGGGAGCAAACGGG
rnacentral:rRNA from 1 species